rnacentral:rRNA from 1 species
GACGAACGCUGGCGGCGUGCUUAACACAUGCAAGUCGAACGGAAAGGCGCUGCUUUUGUGUGGUGCUCGCGUGGCGAACGGGUGAGUAACACGUGAGUAACCUGCCCAUGACGUGGGGAUAACUUCAGGAAACUGGGGCUAAUACCGGAUAGGAGCUCCUGCUGCAUGGUGGGGGUUGGAAAGUUUCGGUGGUUGGGGAUGGACGGUGGGCUUAUGAGCUUGUUGGUGGGGUAGUGGCUAACCAAGGCUUUGACUGCUAGCCGGCCUGAGAGGGUGACCGGGCACCUUGGUACUGCGAUACGGCCCAGACGCGUACGGGAGGCAGCAGUGGGGAAUAUUGUACAAUGGGCGGAAGCCUGAUGCAGCAGUGCCGCGUGCGGGAUGAAGGCCUUCGGGUGGUAAACCGCUUUCGCCUGUGACGAAGCGGGAGUGACGGUAAUGGGUAAAGAAGCACCGGCUAACUACGUG